GACGACUGGACUUUGACUUUCAUGCUAACGAUACGGGCGCCGUUCUCGUUCAACGCUACAUUCGCACUGGCCUUGACUGUGAUUCACUGGCUACCAGUUACGCCUACAUGCCGCUAUUUCCGAAGAAACAAGCGCGCUCAAGUUAGCGGUGAGCGGCAGGUCUGUGAAAUAUUGAUGCGGCGCACGCAAAGGAUACAUUUGAUCCUCGCUUCCGGCGACAAGACGCCGCCGCCGCGAAGUUCCUUUAGGAGUACAAUUACCAGGAGGAGGAGGAAUACUGCAAUCAAGUCAUGUUGUAGUAAAAUCACAACAACAACAACAACAAAUGUACUCAUCCAAGGAAGGAAAGUCUUCUUUAAGUGGAAAAUGAAUUCUCAUUUUUGGACUACAUGCUUUCUUCACUUUUCAACUAUUUUUAUUUCCUUGUAAUUUAUUGUGUUGAUUUUUUUUUUUCCCAUAAUAGGA